rnacentral:lncRNA from 1 species
GGCCGCACAAUCAAAUCGGUUGGAGGCUCGUCGUCACGUCAUCUGCCCGCUCGUGUAGAUCUUUCGUCGGCGUUGGGGAGACGGACGUUUAGUGAAUACGCACGCACGAUAUAGUAACGAUCCAAUGCUGAAUUUGAUCGGGUCAACCUAUCACGAAGACGGUCGUGUUGAUCAAACCGACAAAUAAAUCGCUACUAUACGUUUGCACGUAUACACCAAUCCGCCGUCGUCGGAGAAGAAAAAGAAAGAGGCCAUGAGCCCUCCUCAUGCGCCGUUGUCGUUGUCUAAGUCAUCACAGCGCUGCCGACGUCGUCGCGCCGUUGUCGAAGUCGUCGCGGUCGUCGUCGUCGCGCCGUUGUGGAAGUCGACGCCGUCGUCGUUGUCGAAGUCGUCGCCGUCGUCAUUGUCGUCGUCGUCGCCGCAAAAUGAAAGCCGAGCCUUUCUUUCUUUCUUUU